rfam:Lupinus angustifolius cultivar Tanjil contig_54708, whole genome shotgun sequence.
AAACCAUGGUUAGGGCAUUUUCUCAACAACAUCUGAAAAUGCUCCCAAGCUUCAUAAAAUGCUUCAUAUGCACCUUGUUGAAAAGUCGAUAUCUCAAACUGGGCAU